UACGUAGGGGGCAAGCGUUGUUCGGAAUUACUGGGCGUAAAGGGCUCGUAGGCGGCCAACUAAGUCAUACGUGAAAUCCCCCGGCUUAACCGGGGAACUGCGUCUGAUACUGGAUGGCUUGAGUUCGGGAGAGGGAUGCGGAAUUCCAGGUGUAGCGGUGAAAUGCGUAGAUAUCUGGAGGAACACCGGUGGCGAAGGCGGCAUCCUGGACCGAUACUGACGCUGAGGAGCGAAAGCCAGGGGAGCAAACGGG
rnacentral:rRNA from 1 species